rnacentral:lncRNA from 1 species
GUGAAAAGAUAAUAUUUUUAUUAUUUUUUAAAAAUAUUUAUUUUCUAAUAUUUGUAUAAUUUUAUAAUGCAACGUUUGGUUCAGAUAUAAGUAAGAACUAGCUAUUACAGAGAUAUGUACAAGUAUCAUCAGGAUAAAAAAAAUAACGUUUAGAUGAAAAUUAGGUUGUUCCCGAAAUAAAAAAAAUAACGUUUGGAUAGAUAAUAUGGAAUAAAAAAAAUAGUGGAUAGUUAUAUAUAAAAAAUGGAGGUGUUGAUGGAAAUAGUUAAAUCUGGUUAUUAUAGACAACCGAGAAUUACUAUUUUUGGAUAAAAAAUUAGCGUUUGGGUAUAAAGGGUAUAUGAUUUAUAACUUCUUGGCAAAUAAUAUGAAAAUAUUUAAAACGGUAA